CAUUUAAACUGAGAACCACACCACAUAAGGAAAAGAUCCGUUUCCCACAGUACAGACAGAUUCCUUUGAGUGAACACAUAAAAAGAUAUGCAGGUAAUAUCCAACCACACUUCACAGUUUUCCCAAUCUACCAGUGCAAAGAAACAGUUUCUGUACAAGGACGUUUAAAUAAAGAAAAU